GACGAACGCUGGCGGCAGGCUUAACACAUGCAAGUCGAACGCCGUAGCAAUACGGAGUGGCAGACGGGUGAGUAACGCGUGGGAACGUGCCUUUUGGUUCGGGACAACUGAGGGAAACUUCAGCUAAUACCGGAUAAGCCCCGAGGGGGAAAGAUUUAUCGCCAAAAGAUCGGCCCGCGUCAGAUUAGGUAGUUGGUGGGGUAAUGGCCUACCAAGCCGAUGAUCUGUAGGUGGUCUGAGAGGAUGAUCACCCACACUGGGACUGAGACACGGCCCAGACUCCUACGGGAGGCAGCAGUGGGGAAUAUUGGACAAUGGGGGAAACCCUGAUCCAGCCAUGCCGCGUGGAUGAAGAAGGCCCUAGGGUUGUAAAGUCCUUUCGCCGCUGAAGAUAAUGACGGUAAGCGGAGAAGAAGCCCCGGCUAAUUUCGUGCCAGCCGCCGCCGUAACAC
rnacentral:rRNA from 1 species